GUCAUCAGUGGCUGGGUAGAUGAGAGGGAGAGCAGUGGAUGUUUUGUACUUGACUUCAGCAAAAGCACUUGACAACGUAUCCCACAACAUCCUUGGACAGUGACUCCACCACCUCCAUGGGCAGCCUGUUCUGGCACCUGAUCACUCUCCAGAGAAGAAGAUUUUCCUAUCAACCUGAAUCAUUAAGAUAUUUGCAAAGUUGGUGUUUGGUUGUUAAUAUCUGAAAAUGGAUGCCUGACUUUGACCAGUGGAAAUGUUUGUGUGAUGAAGCAUCCAGUCAACUGGCCUCUAUCAACAUCUAAUGUCUCAGGAUCAACAGGAAAUAUUUAAGAUUCACACUGAGACUGGAUUUCUUCCAUAGGAUGAGCUGCUUGAAAGCUUUUCUUCCUAAUCUUGCCAUGCUGGAGAAGUUAUGAAUAUGAUAUUCUGAAAUCUGCUCAGCUGAGUCCUGAAAAUGGAAAAGAAAGCUCAAGGUCUCCUAGAGGGGUAAAUCUCCAUACAUCCAAUAAGUGCAAUACAAUAGGUCAUUUAGAGACAUUUUCAUUAAACUAACUGGAUAUCCAGAAUCAUUAGGAUAAUAUGUUUCCAUUUUUCAUGUUUCAAUGAUGUAGUAUUAAAUCAGAGGAUUAUUGGGUUGUUCUUCUCCUCCCUCCCACCUUGGUUUGCAUUGUUUUCACUGACUUAAAGCACCAGGGUAUUAUGAUAUAUAUUAUGGUAUAUGGUAUUAUGGAAUGAUACAGCUCAUUUAAAAUAAAUAGAAAUAUUCUGUCACAUAGUAUAAACACCACUAGACAUACUGUAGAAUAGUGUUAUAAUUUCAUGGCUUAUGAUGUACUCAGUAGAUCGGGUGCCUUGGUAUUAGCAUCUUUUUUUUCUCUCUUUAUGAUUUUUUACAAUAAUCACAACAUAUGUGCUUACCUGUAGAGUCUUACAACACCACUCCUUCUCCAAUGGCUACCAUGAUGAUUCUUUCUCAUUCUGGAUACCUGGAACUUUUUAGCAUUAAGUCAGCUGGCAGCAACUGGUUCACACAGUGCUGGGAAAGUCAUACCCAGAGUGAUGAUAAGUGCAACAACACACAUAUAACUCUGAUCCUUUUAGCCAAAUUGAAAUCUUUGCUCAUAAUUCAAAUGUUCACACAUCUGCUUAAGCUUCUUUCCUUCCUACUGAUGGAAGCAGGUGGGUGGCAAUCUUCAGAAUCUGUUGUCUAAUGUAUACUAUUUUAAGAAAGGAUGAGGAAGAAUGAAAGAUGUAUAACAAAAAAGAAGAAAAGAAAAAAAAUCACUUUGAGUCUUACACAGUGUAAGUUCUGUUGUAGUGCCUCUUAUUUUUAAUGACAGUUAUUCUAACAGAUGGGCUAUGGCUAGCAGUUAGAAUAGUAGAAUUCAGUGCAAGAAAAAACUAUGCUGGCAAAUAAUUAUAAAAAAACAUUUUGACAUAUGGUAAUACAGCAUUGCUUGGGAAGGACUUAAUGAAAGUCUCACUUUCUGUCAUGUCUUAAGCUGUAAACAAAUUAAUUUGUUUCUGGAAACAAGCCCUGGACUAGAAUCAUUUGUUUAGCUAAUGAGGUAUGACUGCAUGACGUCAUAGCAUGCGUAAUAGUGUGGGCUCUGUUACUGGAACGUAGGCUUUGGGCAAAACAAAAAGACUUAAAAGCUCAUUCUUCGAUGUUCAGUAAACCACCAGACCAAAGCCAUGUUGGAUUAACUCUCCUCAGUAAAACAAACAAAUAUGUUGGCUGUCCUUCUCUAAAAUUUGAUUCAGUUCAGUAUUGUCCAUUUUCAGUUCCACCCAGGCAGGUAAAUAAAAGCAAAACAAUAAAAAUCUCUUCCAGUUUCACAAGGAAAUGUAUUCUAUUAAU